rnacentral:rRNA from 1 species
GAUGAACGCUAGCUACAGGCUUAACACAUGCAAGUCGAGGGGCAGCAUUAGGUAGCAAUACUGAGAUGGCGACCGGCGCACGGGUGCGUAACGCGUAUCCAACCUUCCCGUUACUCAUGGAUAGCCUUCCGAAAGGGAGAUUAAUACAUGAUGGUGUUGAAAUUCCGCAUGUUAUUUCAACUAAAGAUUUAUCGGUAACGGAUGGGGAUGCGUGACAUUAGAUAGAUGGCGGGGUAACGGCCCACCAUGUCCACGAUGUCUAGGGGUUCUGAGAGGAAGGUCCCCCACACUGGAACUGAGACACGGUCCAGACUCCUACGGGAGGCAGCAGUGAGGAAUAUUGGUCAAUGGCCGGAAGGCUGAACCAGCCAAGUAGCGUGAAGGAUGAAGGUUCUAUGGAUUGUAAACUUCUUUUAUACGGGAAUAAAACCUCCCACGUGUGGGAGCUUGUAUGUACCGUAUGAAUAAGCAUCGGCUAACUCCGUGCCAGCCGCCGCCUAAUAC